AUUGAACGCUGGCGGCAUGCCUUACACAUGCAAGUCGAACGGCAGCGGGCCUUCGGGUGCCGGCGAGUGGCGAACGGGUGAGUAAUGCAUCGGAACGUGCCAUUGAGUGGGGGGAUAACGUAGCGAAAGUUACGCUAAUACCGCAUAUUCUGUGAGCAGGAAAGCAGGGGACCGCAAGGCCUUGCGCUCUUUGAGCGGCCGAUGUCAGAUUAGCUAGUUGGUGAGGUAAAGGCUUACCAAGGCGACGAUCUGUAGCGGGUCUGAGAGGAUGAUCCGCCACACUGGAACUGAGACACGGUCCAGACACCUACGGGAGGCAGCAGUGGGGAAUUUUGGACAAUGGGCGCAAGCCUGAUCCAGCCAUGCCGCGUGAGUGAAGAAGGCCUUC
rnacentral:rRNA from 1 species